UGGGGAAUUUUGGACAAUGGGCGCAAGCCUGAUCCAGCCAUGCCGCGUGCAGGAUGAAGGCCCUCGGGUUGUAAACUGCUUUUGUACGGAACGAAAAGCCUCUUUCUAAUAAAGAGGGGUGAUGACGGUACCGUAAGAAUAAGCACCGGCUAACUACGUGCCAGCAGCCGCGGUAAUACGUAGGGUGCGAGCGUUAAUCGGAAUUACUGGGCGUAAAGCGAGCGCAGGCGGUCUUGCAAGACAGUGGUGAAAUCCCCGGGCUCAACCUGGGAACUGCCAUUGUGACUGCAAGGCUGGAGUACGGCAGAGGGGGAUGGAAUUCCGCGUGUAGCAGUGAAAUGCGUAGAUAUGCGGAGGAACACCGAUGGCGAAGGCAGUCCCCUGGGCCUGUACUGACGCUCAUGCACGAAAGCGUGGGGAGCAAACA
rnacentral:rRNA from 1 species